AGGUUAAUGUCUCUCUCUCUCUACUACAGCAGGUUAAUGUCUCUCUCUACUACAGCAGGUUAAUGUCUCUCUCUACUACAGCAGGUUAAUGUCUCUCUCUCUCUACUACAGCAGGUUAAUGUCUCUCUCUACUACAGCAGGUUAAUGUCUCUCUCUACUACAGCAGGUUAAUGUCUCUCUCUCUACUACAGCAGGUUAAUGUCUCUCUCUCUCUA